UGCCCUUAACUCUGGGAUAAGCCUGGGAAACUGGGUCUAAUACCGGAUAUGACUCCUCAUCGCAUGGUGGGGGGUGGAAAGCUUUAUUGUGGUUUUGGAUGGACUCGCGGCCUAUCAGCUUGUUGGUGAGGUAAUGGCUCACCAAGGCGACGACGGGUAGCCGGCCUGAGAGGGUGACCGGCCACACUGGGACUGAGACACGGCCCAGACUCCUACGGGAGGCAGCAGUGGGGAAUAUUGCACAAUGGGCGAAAGCCUGAUGCAGCGACGCCGCGUGAGGGAUGACGGCCUUCGGGUUGUAAACCUCUUUCAGUAGGGAAGAAGCGAAAGUGACGGUACCUGCAGAAGAAGCGCCGGCUAACUACGUGCCAGCAGCCGCGGUAAUACGUAGGGCGCAAGCGUUAUCCGGAAUUAUUGGGCGUAAAGAGCUCGUAGGCGGUUUGUCGCGUCUGCCGUGAAAGUCCGGGGCUCAACUCCGGAUCUGCGGUGGGUACGGGCAGACUAGAGUGAUGUAGGGGAGACUGGAAUUCCUGGUGUAGCGGUGAAAUGCGCAGAUAUCAGGAGGAACACCGAUGGCGAAGGCAGGUCUCUGGGCAUUAACUGACGCUGAGGAGCGAAAGCAUGGGGAGCGAACAGGAUUAGAUACCCUGGUAGUCCAUGCCGUAAACGUUGGGCACUAGGUGUGGGGGACAUUCCACGUUUUCCGCGCCGUAGCUAACGCAUUAAGUGCCCCGCCUGGGGAGUACGGCCGCAAGGCUAAAACUCAAAGGAAUUGACGGGGGCCCGCACAAGCGGCGGAGCAUGCGGAUUAAUUCGAUGCAACGCGAAGAACCUUACCAAGGCUUGACAUGAACCGGAAAUACCUGGAAACAGGUGCCCCGCUUGCGGUCGGUUUACAGGUGGUGCAUGGUUGUCGUCAGCUCGUGUCGUGAGAUGUUGGGUUAAGUCCCGCAACGAGCGCAACCCUCGUUCUAUGUUGCCAGCGCGUUAUGGCGGGGACUCAUAGGAGACUGCCGGGGUCAACUCGGAGGAAGGUGGGGACGACGUCAAAUCAUCAUGCCCCUUAUGUCUUGGGCUUCACGCAUGCUACAAUGGCCGGUACAAAGGGUUGCGAUACUGUGAGGUGGAGCUAAUCCCAAAAAGCCGGUCUCAGUUCGGAUUGGGGUCUGCAACUCGACCCCAUGAAGUCGGAGUCGCUAGUAAUCGCAGAUCAGCAACGCUGCGGUGAAUACGUUCCCGGGCCUUGUACACA
rnacentral:rRNA from 1 species